UUGGGAUAGCUCAGUUGGUAGAGC
rnacentral:tRNA from 1 species